GACGAACGCUGGCGGCGUGCCUAAUACAUGCAAGUAGGACGCAGUUGCGAACAGGGGAGUAACGCGUCAGUAACUGCCUAUUAGAGGGGGAUAACUAUUGGAAACGAUAGCUAAAACCGCCUACUAGUAGAUGGACCUUCGUUGUAUUAGCUAGUAGGUUGGGUAAUGGCCUACAUAGGGGACGAUACAUAGCCGACCUUAGAGGGUUAUCGGCCACACUGGGACUGAGACACGGCCCAGACUCCUACGGGAGGCAGCAGUAGGGAAUCUUCGGCAAUGGGGGGAACCCUGACCGAGCAACGCCGCGUGAGUGAAGAAGGUUUGCGGAUCGUAAAGCUCUGUUGUUAAGGAAGCGGUACUUAACCAGAAAGGGACGGCUAACUACGUGCCAGCAGCCGCGGUAAUAC
rnacentral:rRNA from 1 species